CCUACGGGUGGCAGCAGUGAGGAAUAUUGGUCAAUGGGCGCGAGCCUGAACCAGCCACGUAGCGUGAAGGAUGACUGCCCUACGGGUUGUAAACUUCUUUUAUAAAGGAAUAAAGUCAGGCACGUGUGCCUUUUUGUAUGUACUUUAUGAAUAAGAAUAGGCUAACUCCGUGCCAGCAGCCGCGGUAAUACGGGGGAUCCGAGCGUUAUCCGGAUUGGUUGGGUUUAAAGGGAGCGUAGAUGGGUUGUUAAGUCAGUUGUGAAAGUUUGCGGCUCAACCGUAAAAUUGCAAUGGAUACUGGCAGUCUUGAGUACAGGUGAGGUAGGCGGAAUUCGUGGUGUAGCGGUGAAAUGCUUAGAUAUCACGAAGAACUCCGAUUGCGAAGGCAGCUUACUAAACUGCCACUGACAUUGAUGCUCGAAAGUGUGGGUAGCAAACAGGAUUAGAUACCCGUGUAGUC
rnacentral:rRNA from 1 species